rnacentral:tRNA from 1 species
GGGAUAUAGCUCAGCGAUACAGCACCUGCCUGGCAAGCAUGAGGUCCUGAGUUUGAUUCUCGGUACCCACA